rnacentral:misc_RNA from 1 species
GAUGAAGAACGUAGCGAAAUGCGAUAAGUAAUGUGAAUUGCAGAAUUCAGUGAAUCAUCGAAUCUUUGAACGCACCUUGCGCUCCUUGGUAUUCCGAGGAGCAUGCCUGUUUGAGUGUCAUUAAAUUCUCAACCUUUCUGGCUUUUGCUAGUCAGGCUUGGAUUAUGGGAGCUGCUGGCUUUUGAAGUCGGCUCUUCUAAAAUGUAUUAGCAAGAUCAUUGCUGCUCAUCAUUGGUAUGAUAAUUAUCUAUAUCAUUGAGAGUCAGUUUCCUUUAUUGGAAGAUUUUGCUCCUAACGGUCUUUAGCAAGACAACAUUUGACGAUUUUGACCUCAAAUCAGGUAGGACUACCCGCUGAACUUAAGCAUAUCAAUAAGCGGAGGA